rnacentral:rRNA from 1 species
CCUACGGGUGGCAGCAGUGAGGAAUAUUGGUCAAUGGACGAGAGGCUGAACCAGCCAAGUAGCGUGAAGGAUGACUGCCCUAUGGGUUGUAACCUUCUUUUAUAUGGGAAUAAAAUGUUCCACGUGUGGGAUUUUGUAUGUACCAUAUGAAUAAGGAUCGGCUAACUCCGUGCCAGCAGCCGCGGUAAUACGGAGGAUCCGAGCGUUGUCCGGAUUUAUUGGGUUUAAAGGGAGCGUAGGUGGGUUGUUAAGUCAGUUGUGAAAGUUUGCGGCUCAACCGUAAAAUUGCAGUUGAAACUGGCAGUCUUGAGUACAGUAGAGGUGGGCGGAAUUCGUGGUGUAGCGGUGAAAUGCUUAGAUAUCACGAAGAACUCCGAUUGCGAAGGCAGCUCACUGGACUGCAACUGACACUGAGGCUCGAAAGUGUGGGUAUCAAACAGGAUUAGAUACCCCAGUAGUC